rnacentral:lncRNA from 1 species
CUUUUGCCCGAUGGCAGACACCAGGUAGCCGUGGCAGUGGCACAGGGCCGUCACGGGUCCCUUCUGCUCCUUCUCGUAGAGCACCUUGAACUUGUUCUUGGUCAGCGGCUGCCCCGGCUCGGGCACCACCUCGAUCACGUCCAGGAUCAGGAUCUGACAGGUGAGACACGGACAGGUGAGACACGGACAGGUGUGACAUGGACAGGUGAGACAUGGACAGGUGAGAUAUGGACAGGUGAGACAUGGACAGGUGAGACAUGGACAGGUGAGACAUGGACAGGUGAGACAUGG